rnacentral:sRNA from 1 species
UGCAGCCGCGCACCACCACAGCAGGUUAAAUUUUGUAUUUUUAGUACAGAUGAGGUUUCACCAUGCUGGUCUCGAACUCCUGACCUCAUGAUCCGCCCACCUCAGCCUCCCAAAGUGCUGGGAUUAUAGGCGUGAGCCACCGCGCCUGGCCUCAUCACUCUUAAAUAAUGAAAAACUAAAUUUUUAGAGGAAAAAGAAAAUCACAGGACCCUGUGAAGGAAGGUGGAGAAAGUGGUGAUUCUGAAGGUGUUUCAGGAUAUUUCGCUAAGUAAUUUAUGAAAGGGAAAACUAUUUUUCAUGAGCAUCAGAGGAGAGAUAUUGUACCCACUCUUCAGAGACAGAAACUGAAAUUCAAAGAGAGU